UUAAUAAUUUUAUAGGGCUCAGACAACAUAAUAAAGAGUUUGUGGAUUCUCUGGCAAGCACUGACCAGCCUAAGCCAGUGGCCGUUAGACGGGCCUGCCAAAGCAACAAUGGUGUGUGUAAACAAAGGGUGGGAGAUAUACCCUAAAGGGCAUGUUCUCUGUAAUGAUCCUUCCGCAGGUUCACCUACGGAAA
rnacentral:misc_RNA from 1 species